rnacentral:sRNA from 1 species
AUGCAUCACCUAUUGUCUCAAAAUCAGAAAAGUAAAAUAAAAUAAGAAGUAAUCAAAUUACAACCCCAAACCGUAAAGCCUCAUCAUAUGUUCUGCUCUCUUACGGUUUUACCCCGCUCCGUCUCUCGACUGUUCUGCAAAUUCGCCGCCAACGGCGUCCACCACCUCUCUAUCGUCUCCCUCUCUCACCUACUCUCUAACCCUCUGCGCCCCACUCUUCACUAUCUCCUCUCUCUAACCUAUUGGGGAAAGAGAAAUCUUCAGUUGUUCUGCUCUUUCUAACCUUGGACGAGUUCUCCGUGUCUAUUUUUCUCUUCAUUUCACCGAUUUAUGUCUCUCUACAGUGGUCUCUCUCUAAAAGCAAUUGAAAUAUUCUCGAACUCUAUUUUUCAGGUGUAUCGCUAUUGGAUUGGUCUUGCAAUUCCUAAAGGCUAGCUCAUCUUUGGUUAAACCUGAACCUACAUUUGAAUAACAUUGACGAAGUGUCGAGUUAUGUUUAUACGAGCUCCAUAAAAGAAGAACGAAGAGCUGAGAGCGCAAUGGAUUUGCAAAAUGAGAACGAAGAUGUCAUCGCACAAUUAAAGGUUAAGUUUUUGGCUGCAAGUCCGGGGUAAACAUAAGUUGCUGUUAAGUUGCUGUUAAGUUGAGAUGGGAGACCGUAAGUGUUUCCGACUGAUACUUGUUAGUUUUGUGGAUGUUCAUGUUAGGUUUUGAAAUGUCACUUGGUGUAUGUAUUUGACUUAUGUGAUUAAAGUCUUGAUUAAUAAAUAUGUGAUUAAAUGAAGUAUACAUUACAUUUGUUAUGAAUUCUAAUUUCAAAUUAUGAAACAAGGAAUAUAUAUGGUAAUUGGUUCAUCACAUAUUGGAA